CAUUACCGAGUUAUACAACUCAUCAACCCUGUGAACAUACCUAAAACGUUGCUUCGGCGGGAACAGACGGCCCUGUAACAACGGGCCGCCCCCGCCAGAGGACCCCUAACUCUGUUUUUAUAAUGUUUUUCUGAGUAAACAAGCAAAUAAAUUAAAACUUUCAACAACGGAUCUCUUGGCUCUGGCAUCGAUGAAGAACGCAGCGAAAUGCGAUAAGUAAUGUGAAUUGCAGAAUUCAGUGAAUCAUCGAAUCUUUGAACGCACAUUGCGCCCGCCAGUAUUCUGGCGGGCAUGCCUGUUCGAGCGUCAUUACAACCCUCAGGCCCCCGGGCCUGGCGUUGGGGAUCGGCAGAAGCCCCCUGUGGGCACACGCCGUCCCUCAAAUACAGUGGCGGUCCCGCCGCAGCUUCCAUUGCGUAGUAGCUAACACCUCGCAACUGGAGAGCGGCGCGGCCAUGCCGUAAAACACCCAACUUCUGAAUGUUGACCUCGAAUCAGGUAGGAAUACCCGCUGAACUUAAGCAUAUCAAA
rnacentral:rRNA from 1 species